ACUGAUUCCUCCUUCUUGACGAACCGUGAUGUCAUUAAUUUGGUGUUGCGGGAAAUCAGGACUGUUACUUUGAAAAAAUUAGAGUGUUUAAAGCAGGCUAACGCUUGAAUACAUUAGCAUGGAAUAAUGAAAUAGGACGUUAAUCCUAUUUUGUUGGUUUCUAGGAUCGACGUAAUGAUUAAUAGGGAUAGUUGGGGGCAUUAGUAUUCAAUUGUCAGAGGUGAAAUUCUUGGAUUUAUUGAAGACUAACUACUGCGAAAGCAUUUGCCAAGGAUGUUUUCAUUAAUCAAGAACGAAAGUUAGGGGAUCGAAGACGAUCAGAUACCGUCGUAGUCUUAACCAUAAACUAUGCCGACUAGGGAUCGGAUGAUGUUAAUUCUUUAAUGACUCAUUCGGCGCCUUACG
rnacentral:rRNA from 1 species